rnacentral:rRNA from 1 species
AUUAGUGGCGAACGGGUGAGUAAUACGUGAGUGACCUACCUUUGACUCUGGGAUAAGCCUGGGAAACUGGGUCUAAUACCGGAUACGACCAAUCUCUGCAUGGGGUGUUGGUGGAAAGCGUUAUGGAGUGGUUUUAGAUGGGCUCACGGCCUAUCAGCUUGUUGGUGAGGUAAUGGCUUACCAAGGCGACGACGGGUAGCCGGCCUGAGAGGGUGACCGGCCACACUGGGACUGAGACACGGCCCAG